CCCACGCUACUCUGCUAACCACCCAACGAGCCCCGUCUCCCUUCCGACCAGUUCAGUCGUCAACCUCCAGUCACCGUCCCAGCUUCCAGCGACACCAUAACACCAAACCAGUAGCGUCGACCCCCUCGUCCAAACGACUUUACUGCCGGACAACACACAUCAAGAGCAGCUGCUGCUCACUUCGUCUUCUUUCUCCAGUAGCUC
rnacentral:lncRNA from 1 species